UGCUCAAUGGAUUUUUUAAAUUGCUGUGGUAUUUUGACUAUACAAAGGUAUUGAAAUAAGGUUUUAAAUGAAUGCUAAAAGAAUGAAUUAACAGUAAAUGACUUUAUUUAUUUUAAAAUAUAAAAUUUUAUUUAAAAUUGAAAAAGAUUUUAUGUUUAUUUGGGACGAAAAGACCCUAUGAAUUUUUGAUUUUUAAUUUAUUUUAUCAAAAUUAAAAAUCUUUGUUGGGGUGACAGAUAAAGAAUGUGUAUCUUUCUUUUUUAUAAUGAUCCAUNUAUAAUGAUAAAAGGAAAUAAAUACUCUAGGGUUAACAGCGUAAUAAUUUUGGAUAGUUCAUAUUGAUAAAAUAGAUUGCGACCNCGAUGUUGGAUUAAGAUACUUAUUUAUUGAAGAAGGUAAAUUAAGAAGUUUGUUCAACUUUUAAUAUCUUACUUGAUCUGAGGUUCAGACCGGA
rnacentral:rRNA from 1 species